rnacentral:rRNA from 1 species
ACACGUCAUACAAUGGUCGGUACAGAGGGUUGCCAAGCCGCGAGGUGGAGCCAAUCCCUUAAAGCCGAUCGUAGUCCGGAUCGUAGUCUGCAACUCGACUACGUGAAGUCGGAAUCGCUAGUAAUCGCAGAUCAGCAUGCUGCGGUGAAUACGUUCCCGGGUCUU